AGUUUGAUCCUGGCUCAGGACGAACGCUGGCGGCGCGCCUAACACAUGCAAGUCGAACGAGCGAGAGAGAGCUUGCUUUCUCGAGCGAGUGGCGAACGGGUGAGUAACGCGUGAGGAACCUGCCUCAAAGAGGGGGACAACAGUUGGAAACGACUGCUAAUACCGCAUAAGCCCACGACCCGGCAUCGGGUUGAGGGAAAAGGAGCAAUCCGCUUUGAGAUGGCCUCGCGUCCGAUUAGCUAGUUGGUGAGGUAACGGCCCACCAAGGCAACGAUCGGUAGCCGGACUGAGAGGUUGAACGGCCACAUUGGGACUGAGACACGGCCCAGACUCCUACGGGAGGCAGCAGUGGGGAAUAUUGCACAAUGGGGGAAACCCUGAUGCAGCGACGCCGCGUGGAGGAAGAAGGUCUUCGGAUUGUAAACUCCUGUUGUUGAGGAAGAUAAUGACGGUACUCAACAAGGAAGUGACGGCUAACUACGUGCCAGCAGCCGCGGUAAAACGUAGGUCACAAGCGUUGUCCGGAAUUACUGGGUGUAAAGGGAGCGCAGGCGGGAAGACAAGUUGGAAGUGAAAUCCAUGGGCUCAACCCAUGAACUGCUUUCAAAACUGUUUUUCUUGAGUAGUGCAGAGGUAGGCGGAAUUCCCGGUGUAGCGGUGGAAUGCGUAGAUAUCGGGAGGAACACCAGUGGCGAAGGCGGCCUACUGGGCACCAACUGACGCUGAGGCUCGAAAGUGUGGGUAGCAAACAGGAUUAGAUACCCUGGUAGUCCACACCGUAAACGAUGAUUACUAGGUGUUGGAGGAUUGACCCCUUCAGUGCCGCAGUUAACACAAUAAGUAAUCCACCUGGGG
rnacentral:rRNA from 1 species